rnacentral:rRNA from 1 species
UACGUAGGGUGCAAGCGUUGUCCGGAAUUAUUGGGCGUAAAGAGCUCGUAGGCGGUCUGUCGCGUCUGCUGUGAAAACUCGGGGCUUAACCCCGGGCCUGCAGUGGGUACGGGCAGACUAGAGUGCGGUAGGGGAGACUGGAAUUCCUGGUGUAGCGGUGAAAUGCGUAGAUAUCGUUUGGAACGCCAAUGGUGAAAACAGCUUGCUGGGGAUGUGCUGACGCUGAGACACGAAAGCCAGGGGAGCGAACGGG